UCAGCCACCGAGCAGAGGGUCCUCGGGGACGCCCGGGGCGGAGUCAGCCCAGGCACCUCUCCUUUCCCCUGUGCCGGCCAUCCUAACUCACAGGGGCCACUAGGCAGAGGCGGGUGGUGGUGGUGGGUUUGGGGGGCAGCUCAGAUUCUGGCCCAGGAAGGGAGGGAGUUGGUGGGUGGCAGGGGCGGGCUCCCAGUCCCUGACACGUCAGUCAUGCAAUGCACGUUCAGGAAAAGAUUAAGAAUUUCAGGACAGUGACCACAGAACAUGAAAGCCACAAAGCAGACUUCCAAGCACAGGGCCUCAUGAGUGGUUCGAGUCCUUCAUGUGUUGAAAUUUAAUCCUCAUCGGGAGGUAUUAAGAGGGCAGUUAACUUAAUUGCAUAUGGUGUUUGCAGGUGAGGGCAUUGGGUCGUGAUUAGGAUUAAAUAAGGUAAAUGACUGCUUCCGGGUGGCUUUGCAGCACAGAAGGGAGAGACCAGAAACAUACACAUGAACACAUGAACAUCUCUUGCCACGUGACUCCCUGCGCCACCUGGGAACUCUGCCCCCAAGAAGGUCAUCACCAGUUAUGGGCCCCUGAACCUGCAGAAUGAAGAUAACUCUUGGGAAGUUUAGAAAUCGUCUCCCAGACAUGUAACAAGGAGUUGCUGAGCUGGUGGUGCUGAGUCUUCUUUGCCAUGGAUUUCACCUUCAGAUGAAGGAACAAAGGCCAAGAGAGAAUUGCUUCCUGGCUACACAGCAGGUGCACUGACCCGUCUGGGAGGGCCUUCCUCCAACAUACAGAAGUGAUCCUGCCAACAGUGGGAGACAACGAAACUGGAACUUCAAAGUGUGCACAUGAUUUCUCCAGUAACUUUUGUACUCUUCUUCACCUUCCUGGAUAUCCCAGGCUCCUUCUACAGCAGCUAUGUUCCUAAAAGUUUCCCUCAUCACAUCUCUGUAGAGCUUCUUUUGGGAUGGAUUCAGCAAAACCCACUCCUCUAUGGUGAAGUUCACAGCCACAUCCUCAAAGGUCACUGCCUCCAUUGUGUGGCUUCAGGUUUUCCCAGGGUCCUUCCUCCCACGCAGUAUGUAGUCAGUACAAGUCACAGAUGUUGGCCUAGUCGGGGGGGGGGGGGCGGGCUCUCAGCAAUGUAGUCUGGAAAUUUUAGAACAGUAAUUCUGCUUGACACUGUCCCACAACCUUUGUUGUCCUAUCCUAGCCUCAGUGUUAGGCAGUGCACCUGUGUGCCUGAGCCUCCUUUAGAAGUGAGUCUUUCUUAGUAUUCCCAGCUCUCUUCCUCAUGUAUUAGUGGUUAGUCUUCGGCAGGAUUUUCUGCUCCUUCUCCAAUAGUGGUAGUAAGUAAUAGUAGUAUCAAAUUAGUUCUGCUGAGACUCGGGGAUUUAGCUCAGUGGUUCCACCGCCUGCCUUGCAAGCGCAAGGUCCCGAGUUUGAUCCCCAGUACCAAAAAAUAAUUUCUACUGUCCUCCAAAUGAAGGUAUUUUGCUACCUCCAACCUCCAAGAAAUAAAGGGUCUUUGGCUUUUUCAUGGGAUUGAGUGGGUAUACUAUCCUUCUCUCAGAGGUUGAGGGAUUUGGCUUCUGCUUCUCCCAUAAAAGCAGUAUCUGCGUUCUGGGGGAAUAUUUGCUAACCCUCCAUCGAUGACGUAAGGCUUUUGCUUGUGGCAGAAUGGUCCAGGAAACAGGUGGAGUUUUGUGCCCGACCACCCCAGCAGCAGCUGUUGUGUGUAUCUGUGCCUUCUAGGGGGUUUGUUCCGGUGUCCUGUUGUGCCCCUGCUGUCUCUUGUGAACACCUUGGAAACGGCUCCCGUUCCACAGCUUCCCGGAGGCGCCGUUGCUCUGGACCCCUCCGUCCGGGGCUUCGCUGCCGGCGCUGUCCCGAAAGCGCAAAUUCGACACGGGGGCCAUGGCGGAGUCCUCGGCCUCGCCGAGCAAGCGUCGCGGCGGUGGGGAUGGCAGCGCCCAGGGCGGUGCGGAGCUGGAGGGACGCGCC
rnacentral:lncRNA from 1 species